GUGCCAGCAGCCGCGGUAAUACGGAGGGUGCAAGCGUUAUCCGGAUUUACUGGGUUUAAAGGGUGCGUAGGUGGGUCUGUAAGUCAGUGGUGAAAUCUCCGGGCUUAACUCGGAAACUGCCAUUGAUACUAUAGAUCUUGAAUUAUCUGGAGGUGAGCGGAAUAUGUCAUGUAGCGGUGAAAUGCUUAGAUAUGACAUAGAACACCAAUUGCGAAGGCAGCUCACUACGGAUAUAUUGACACUAAGGCACGAAAGCGUGGGGAUCAAACAGGAUUAGAAACCCUGGUAGUCC
rnacentral:rRNA from 1 species